rnacentral:rRNA from 1 species
UACGAAGGGUGCAAGCGUUAAUCGGAAUUACUGGGCGUAAAGCGUGCGUAGGCGGUUUCUUAAGUCUGCUGUGAAAUCCCCGGGCUCAACCUGGGAAUGGCAGUGGAUACUGGGAGGCUAGAGUGUGUCAGAGGAUGGUGGAAUUCCCGGUGUAGCGGUGAAAUGCGUAGAGAUCGGGAGGAACAUCCAUGGCGAAGGCAGCUACCUGGACCAACACUGACACUGAGGCACGAAAGCGUGGGGAGCAAACAGG